CAAAAGCUUCUUUUUGCCCGGGAAACCUUUCGGGCCGCCGGCGGCGCGGGCACCGUAUUUCGCCGUAUAGGAUUUUGGCUUUUGCCCCGUGCGGUACCGCCGUGGCCGCGAUAUCAUACAAGCAACGUGUGCGUGCGCGUAAUAAUAUUAUUGUGUUGUACGGGAAGAACGGAGGCGGGCAGAGCGUUAAGCUCCCGGUUUAUCCGCUCGCGGUUUAAUUAAUUAAAAAAAACCCCGUACAUACGUACGUAUACAACGCACAAACUCCUCGAGGGAAACGGGCCGGAAUGGGGUAGGUACGAUAUUUUGUAAAAUAAUAACGCGAGCGCAAUAUUAUUUAUAUUAUUUUUACGAUGGCGAUGAAUGUUAAUAACGGAUAAUAAUAUUAUCAUAACGUGCGUACGCCACGCUAUACGGAAGCCCCGUAUUGCCUGCCGAGAACGGGAUAUUUAUCAUUACGGUUUGCUCGCGCGCGCGCGCGCGAUUUAUAAUAAUAAUAGUACCCAACUGCACGUCGGACGUAUUGUUGUGGCGUAUGUUAUGCGCGCGUAAUACUAUGUACGUAUCACGAGAACAUUAUCGUCAUCGGUGUUAUUUUUCGUCGGUUCCCCGGCGUCGUUACCAUAAUAACAACACAGCUACUAUACAAUAAUUUGACGGCGUACGUAUUAUACGUACCGCGGGCUGCAUGUUAUCAUAAAGAUCGGUCUGUAACGUUACUGACGAGCCUGUAACGUUUUAAUGGCGUGUGAAAAAAAAAAAAAAAAACAAUUAAUCGCAGUUGCACAAAAGAUUUGUAUUUUAUUGAUAACCGCGGUCACCGGAUGCCUGCCGCAUUUUAUUUGAUCACAAUGAUUUUACUGAUUACAUUAUCGAGUGUCAAUAAUUAAACAACAAAUAAAUAUUCGAACCACGAUAUUUAUAUUAUAAUAUGUGUUUGAUCUUUGACGAUGGCGCCAAAAGGGUAAGGCAGUAAAACUUUACUGAACGAGACAAGAAACGAAAUAAUUCCGCAUA